ACAAGGUGGCGUUGGGAAUGGGAGGGUGGGAAUCUGGAGGGUGCCGGGGAGAGAGAGCACGUCAUAGGGAGAACUGCCCAACCUGGGGCUGUUCUGGGAGAAGGAGCACCUACGACUUACUGAUUAUGUAGUCCUGUUCUGUCCCCAUGCGUUAUCUCUUGUGCUGCUGGGUUGUGUAGGAGUGGUGGUACUUGUGGUUUCCCCUCCCGAGAGCAGAGGCAGAGCUGUGAACAGUGAGGACAGGGAGUGGGAGGAAUGCUAACGAGGCUGGUGGGACAUUAGUGGCCCUGCAGCUGGCAGGGAUCCGGUGAUGCUGGCAAAGCCCGGGUUUUUGGUGCCACCGAUGUGUUCCUGUGGGCUAAGAAGUGUGAUAUGGACGUGCAAAGCACUAGCACUGAUGUGUCAUUUGUGGCCAGGAUGCUCUUUUCCAGCAUAAGUGACAAGUUCGGAGCUGUGAGCCACUCAUCAGUAUCCACUCCUCUUCCAGAAAAAAAGCAGAUGCAAUAACUUUUCUCUUGAAGAAGUGCAUGACAACAACAACAGCAACAAAAAAAAUAACAAAAUAGCUUUCUGAUUUUGCUGUUGCUGCAAAGUGAUGUUACGCCUAUUUCCAGCCAUUCCAGACUUACGGACUGGGACAGGCUCAAGAUGUACCUAGGAGACACCUAAAAGCAAGGAAGAUGCACACACCUGGUCUUGCUGUUGUUAGAAGCAUGUCACUGGGAGUCCAGUGUGCAAAAGGAGGUUUUUCACUAGGGACAAGAGGAGAUGGUUGCGGUGUGUGUUGGAGCCGAUUAGGAGUGAAGGCAAGACUGCGUCCAGGCCUGACGGUCAGACCUUCCUUGCACAAAUGUGGUAAAUGACUACACCAGCAGUCAGCCCUGGACGCCACCCUGGUGAGCUGGUCACCUAAAUAUAGAUGACAUUGGCUUGUGCAAACCAUCCUGGAUUUCACAAGGUGAGGCGCUGCUCCAAGGUCAGUGUGUUGAGAUUGUCAGAGGAGUGACCCUGUGCAAGCCCAGGCAGUGAGGCUGUUGGCUAUUUGGCAGCCUGUAGCUGGCCUUGGUAAGAGCUCUAGGGAGGAUUUAAGAAAAGAAAAUGCCAGUGGAGCUGGAGAUUUGAUAUUUAUCUAUAUCUGUAUUCUUCUCCCUCAGUCAGCAGGCACCUGGGCCUGCUAAUGAGUGCUGUAACACUUGCCACAAUCAAAAGAAAACGUGAACGUGCAUGCCACAUUAGUGGUUGCUGUUUGAUGGAAGCUAAAGCUGCUGAGCUUCAAAGCUUAGCUGCUGGAACAUCAGAAUUUAUAAAAUUAUGCUUAAUCAAAUGAUUAAACAGUAUGAUUAAGCUGAAAUGCUCCUCCAAAAGGCGGUCCCUAAGGGCUGGUAGCUGGUACGCAGAGGCACCUGGACUAGUCCCAUCCAGUGCCACCACGGCAGAACAGGGCAGGAGAGGGGGGGUGUGCUGGAGCUGAGCUCUCUUAAACCACCCCGUCCAGCCCCUCUGCUCUGUCUUUUGCCCACAGGUGAGCCGCUGCCCUCCUGUGAAGCUGAUGGGCACGGCUGGCGCAGGCUCCUUGGAGAGGGCAGCCUCGCUGCCUCCCAUGGCUACCCUUCCAGGGUUAUUUUCCUGCCCUGCUUCCUCCACCCAACCCAUCACCCCGUGGCAGCCUUCCUCGUUGGUCAGGUCACUCAGUUCUUCCAGCCCUGGCACGCGCUCUUGCCGUGCGAUGAGAGGGCCUGGAGGGCACCUUGGGAUGGCAGCUGACCAGGGUAUGGAGCAGGACCCCGUCACUGCCUCCUUCCCCCAGCUCUGCUCCUUGGCUGGAUCCGGGCAGCCAUCUCAGAGGAAAAAAGGCGGCUGUCGCCACCACCCCUCUGCUCUGAUCAUGUUGUUACUUUUAAACUGGCUGUGGGCAGGCUGGUGUCUGAGUGAGUUCAGCGCUACCCUCACCAGGGCUGUUGGUGGCCGGAGCAGCUGUGACGCUGUUGGAGCUCGGAGCAGGGGUCUCGCAGGAUGAGCCCCGCGGACGGCAACCGCAGGAGGCCGCAACCGGAGCAAGCGAUGACACAGGAAAGGGAGGCAAGGCGUAUGUUUUAAAUACUUUUAUUUCUUAAUUUACAUAAAGGUAUAUAUUUGGCUUAUUUCUCUUUUUCUUAUACUCUGAGAUUCACAAUCAAUUGCUCUUAAAAAAUAAAAUAGCCAUUUGCUUCUGAAAGAAAUCAGAAAACUAUUUUAUACUCCUCCCUUGUAUAACAAGAAAAUACACUAUAUACUCCCAUACAUCACAUAGUAGAAGUGAUCGUAAGUGCUGGUUUACCAAACAAUAAAGCAAACAGAGAAGAAACCACACAAUUAGGACAGAGGGUGCAGAGAGGAACUCUGCUUUCCAGAGUACAUCUGUUCACUUGAGAGGGUUUUGUCACCCUGAGGUUCGUUCUUAGCUAGUAUAUAAAAGGCUAGAGGCUGUUGGGGUCUCCCAGAUUCUCGCUCUGUCAGCGAUGGCAGCCCGAGGCAUUACAGUUACUUAGGUCGGCAGCUCGCUGCUUUUGGGCCACUUCUCUUGCCUCUCUGUGCAGUUCCCAUUACCUCUAUUCCUCUUGCUCUGUACAAGCAACCUAAUUGCUUCUUCUGCGGUGGGUGCAUUGGUGCAAAUGCAGCGUUAGCUGUGGAGGGAGUUAAUGAUUGCUUAAACAAACCCAUACCCUUUAUGAAGCGGAGCAGAAGAACGCCCUCAUGACCAACUGAGCAGCUUUCCGUACCCUCCCCAGCGCUCUGGACACCCCACCCCUGCACGCUCAGGCACGGACCUGGAUGAAUGCAGCGGGCUGCGUGUGACGCCGGAGGACCCAAAGAGCGCCGAGCUGUUGGAAGGAGCCUGCGUCUUGCGGCAAGGCAUUGGAGACGAUCGGCAUUAAGGCAGAGGUGGGGAAGGAGCAGAGCACCGGGCAAGGAGCAGUCAUGGCCCCGAGGAGCGGAGUGAGGCAGCAGGUACCGGGGAGCGCGGGCGAUGCACGACGGCACCGGCCGAUUACCUGAGCACCCUUCUCCUCCCUGGCUCCCUGGCCUGAGGAGACGUGUACGUGCAGGGAAGGCAGGGCAUGUGUGCUGCUUUCUCCCUUUUGGUAGUAUUUUCCUAUCUGCUUUCAAAUGAAGUCAAGGGCUCCUUUUUAUGUACACUAAUGUUCAGACGUUCAUGUGCAGUCAUUGAUGUGCAAGAGAUCAGUGGCUUUAAAGGUAUUUCUGUCCUUAUUCGGACUACUGAAUUUUAUGUUGAAGCUGAACCACAAACAUAACCUUGAUGACCUGAACAACUGUAUAUUUAAGUGAUAAGCUGGAACCUUGCUUCAUUUGUUUUUAUGGAUGCUAAAAUAUGUGGAUUCUUGAUUAAAAUUUAUCUUUUCCUAUUA